rnacentral:rRNA from 1 species
GAUGAACGCUAGCUACAGGCUUAACACAUGCAAGUCGAGGGGCAGCAUUAGGUAGCAAUACUGAGAUGGCGACCGGCGCACGGGUGCGUAACGCGUAUCCAACUUUCCCGUUACUUUGGGAUAGCCUUCCGAAAGGGAGAUUAAUACCGGGUGGUGUUGAAAUUUCGCAUGUUAUUUCAACUAAAGAUUUAUCGGUAACGGAUAGGGAUGCGUGACAUUAGGUAGAUGGCGGGGUAACGGCCCACCAUGCCUGCGAUGUCUAGGGGUUCUGAGAGGAAGGUCCCCCACACUGGAACUGAGACACGGUCCAG